AGGAAUUUAUAAAUAUACUAGCAUUCGCCCGCGGCUCCGCCAGCGUGGAAUCUCGCGGUGAAGCAUAAUGCAUUUUUUAAGUUGAUUAAAACAAGUUAUUAAUAUAAUAUUUCCAAGAAAAGGUAUCGGUUAAGUAUUUUUCGUGUGAAACCGUAACAAACACACUUAUAUUCGCAUUUACAAGUAGGUUUAUAUUCAGAAUACAAGCUGUGCUACGUUUGACACUAGAUGGCGUUGUAAUAGUUGUGGAAUAUUUUAUUCUGUGAAUAUAGUCCUCGUCGCAGCGUCGUGCAUAUAAAUGAAGUUGUCAUUUAUAAAGAGUUUUUAUUACAAUACACGUUCAUUCUAGAGGUAGCUCUGAAAACGUAAACAUGGAGUUAUAUAUCCUUUUAUUGUCCGUGGUGUUGGCAGCCUUGGCGACGGUUGUAACUGCUGAACCUCCCGCCGUGCUUGAUGUUUGUCGACUUGGUACCAUAAGGAUUGCAAAUAGAUGCGUCGAUAUUUACUAAAAAUUGGCCUGCAAAACUGAUGACAAGAAUACGAAACGGCGAAACUUGGUCCUGAAUAAAAAGUAAUUAUUAAAAGACAUUAAACACCUAAA